rnacentral:lncRNA from 1 species
AUUUGGUGAUCAAAAGGACACCAAGAAGAAAUAAGAAGAAAGCUCACUUAAAACAAAGUUAAUGAAAAAGGUUGCGAGAACAACCGGAGAAGACGUGACAAAACACACAUGGAGAAAGGAAGAAACAUCAUCAAGAGUAGAUGAUGGAAAAUGGUUAGUUGACACAGAUGUAUUAACUACAUGACUAAGGAGGUGUCAUACUUCAUCACUCUUGAUAAGAGUAUCAACAUACUAAUCAAAGUGGGGAAUGGUCAACGAGUAAUCACGGCAGGGAAAGGGAAUAUCCAAGUGAUGACAAGCCAAGGAGAGAAGAUCAUCAAAGAGGUGUUUCUA